ensembl:snoRNA
AUCCUUUUGUAAUUCAUAUGUGUGAUGAUUGGGUGUUUACAUGCAUGCGUGACAUGUGCCAACCUUGAAUCUUGUUAUAUAACACGUGCACAUUACCCAUCUGACA